CUUCUAUAAUAAAUAUACACACAACAAAGAUUUAUAAAAGUAAAAAAAAACAAGACUAGGAUUGGAACCUAGUUCUCAGAACAGUUCUUCAAGACAACUAGCACCAUCUGUUGGAAGAUUCUGAAGGAUAUUGUGAGAUCCCUAGGGAUUCAAAGGGACCAAUCAGAGAGUUUGCAUUAAUUAAUGUCUUGAAGAAAUGCCAGGUACAUCACAAAUGAAGGCAGUAGCUGUGUUUGAUAUCCGAGUUACUCUAUUGGUUCUUGUAGAAGACCGCGUACAAUUGAUUUCCUCCCACUGAACCUCCGUAUGAAUUUUUGAUGAUGCAACCUGGACACCUUCCACAGGAAACAAAGGGCCAAGAAAUGCAAGCUUGUUACCUGUUAAUCAGACUUACUGAUCUACAGGUAUGCAUUGGAACGUUGGCACCAGCUUUACUGCAAAACUGCCGUCUAUAAUUGGUGUGAUAAUUACCAUUUACAAGUACCCGACUCCCUGUGUGACAGCUAUAGUAGGCAGUAUUUCACCAAGUUUCCAACAAGGAUCAAAAGGUUGAAGAAAGCUAAGGUAGCAGUUGAAUGCAUGUUGAAACAGGAUAGGUGAAAAUCCCUCCAUACACCUGGCCUAUAGUCUGUUUCAGAAAAGUGUAUGAGGAUUAUUACUUUACCUUGUCGAUCAAUAUGUGUAGCGACGAGCAGGAUUAGUAACCCAGUCUGACUUAAGGCCGAGAUGACAUAAGCUCAUUCAUACAGAUUUAACACAAUAUCACAGAGAUCAUGCAAAAUGAGUUUGGUGCUGGGAAGGAGCAGAUAAAUAUAGUUUUGAGGGACCUUCUGAAGCCUUCCAGGAAAAUAAAAGCCUGCGAUAAUACAAAUUGAAGAUAUUUAUAUUUUUGUUGUGUUUUUUUUCCCCAGUAGAAUUUUGAACCCUGUGGUUGCAUAUGGGUUUCCAUGGCAUUUGGUGGAAAUCCAUGAAAUUCCAUGGCAGUUCGUGGAAAUCCAUGAAAUUCCAUGGCAGUUCGUGGAAUUCCAUGGCAGUUCGUGGAAAUCCAUGAAAUUACAUGGCAGUUUGUGGAAUUCCAUGGAUUUUUUUCUACAAAAAUCCAUCUGUAUUUCCAUGUCAAUAUUUUUCUAUCACACAUGGCAUUUCAUGGAAAAAAAACUGUCUAAAUACUCCAUGGAAUAUUUCCAGCAAAAUUCCAUGGCAGUUUGUGGAAAUCUCAGAGACGGGUACUGACAUUCUUUAAUUAAAUAAUUCUAUUUCUUGGUAAAAU